rnacentral:rRNA from 1 species
GAUAAACGCUGGCGGCAGGCCUAACACAUGCAAGUCGAACGGUAACAGGAAGCAGCUUGCUGCUUCGCUGACGAGUGGCGGACGGGUGAGUAAUGUCUGGGAAACUGCCUGAUGGAGGGGGAUAACUACUGGAAACGGUAGCUAAUACCGCAUAACGUCGCAAGACCAAAGAGGGGGGCCUUCGGGCCUCUUGCCAUCGGAUGUGCCCAGAUGGGAUUAGCUAGUAGGUGGGGUAACGGCUCACCUAGGCGACGAUCCCUAGAUGGUCUGAGAGGAUGACCAGCCCCACUGGAACUGAGACACGGUCCAGACUCCUACGGGAGGCAGCAGUGGGGAAUAUUGCACAAUGGGCGCAAGCCUGAUGCAGCCAUGCCGCGUGUAUGAAGAAGGCCUUCGGGUUGUAAAGUACUUUCAGCGGGGAGGAAGGGAGUAAAGUUAAUACCUUUGCUCAUUGACGUUACCCGCAGAAGAAGCACCGGCUAACUCCGUGCCAGCCGCCGCCGUAA